UACGUAGGGGGCAAGCGUUGUCCGGAUUUAUUGGGCGUAAAGAGCGUGUAGGCGGCCAGAUAGGUCUGUUGUGAAAACUCGAGGCUCAACCUCGAGACGCCGAUGGAAACCAUUUGGCUAGAGUCCGGAAGAGGAGAGUGGAAUUCCUGGUGUAGCGGUGAAAUGCGCAGAUAUCAGGAGGAACACCUAUUGCGAAGGCAGCUCGCUGGGACGUAACUGACGCUGAGACGCGAAAGCGUGGGGAGCAAACAGG
rnacentral:rRNA from 1 species